AACGAACGCUGGCGGCGCGUCUUAAGCAUGCAAGUCGAACGGCAAGAGAGGAGCUUGCUUCUCUCCUAGAGUGGCGGACUGGUGAGGAACACGUGGGUAAUCUACCCUUAAGAUGGGGAUAGCUGCUAGAAAUAGCAGGUAAUACCGAAUACACUCGGCAUAUCACAAGAGGUGUUGAGGAAAGGAAGCUACGGCUUCGCUUGAGGAUGAGCUUGCGUCCUAUUAGAUAGUUGGUGAGGUAAAGGCCCACCAAGGCGACGAUGGGUAUCCGGCCUGAGCGGGUGGACGGACGCAUGGGAGCUGAGAUACGGCCCAAAGUCCUGCGGGAGGCAGCAGAUAAGAAUAGUCCGCAAUGGACGGGAGUCUGACGGAGCGACGCGGCGUGGAUGAAGAAGGCUGAAAAGUUGUGAAAUCCUUUUGUUGAUGAAGAAUAGGGGUGAGAGGGAAUGCUCAUCUGAUGACGGUAAUCGACGAAUAAGCCCCGGCUAACUACGUG
rnacentral:rRNA from 1 species